UACAGAGGGUGCAAGCGUUAAUCGGAAUUACUGGGCGUAAAGGGUGCGUAGGUGGUUAUGUAAGUUGGGUGUGAAAUUCCUGGGCUCAACCUGGGGACUGCGCUCAAUACUGUGUAGCUAGAGUACUGUAGAGGAAGGUGGAAUUUCCAGUGUAGCGGUGAAAUGCGUAGAUAUUGGAAGGAACAUCAGUGGCGAAGGCGACUUUCUGGACAGAUACUGACACUGAGGCACGAAAGCGUGGGGAGCAAACAGG
rnacentral:rRNA from 1 species